GAUGAACGCUAGCGGCAGGCUUAACACAUGCAAGUCGAGGGGUAUAGUUCUUCGGAACUAGAGACCGGCGCACGGGUGCGUAACGCGUAUGCAAUCUACCUUUUGCAGAGGGAUAGCCCAGAGAAAUUUGGAUUAAUACCUCAUGGUAUGUGAGAAUGGCAUCAUUUUCACAUUAAAGUCACAACGGCAAAAGAUGAGCAUGCGUCCCAUUAGCUUGUUGGUAAGGUAACGGCUUACCAAGGCAACGAUGGGUAGGGGUCCUGAGAGGGAGGUCCCCCACACUGGUACUGAGACACGGACCAGACUCCUACGGGAGGCAGCAGUGAGGAAUAUUGGACAAUGGGCGCAAGCCUGAUCCAGCCAUGCCGCGUGCAGGAUGACGGUCCUAUGGAUUGUAAACUGCUUUUGUACAGGAAGAAACACUGGUUCGUGAACCAGCUUGACGGUACUGUAAGAAUAAGGAUCGGCUAACUCCGUGCCAGCCGCCGCCGUAACAC
rnacentral:rRNA from 1 species